rnacentral:rRNA from 1 species
AUUGAACGCUGGCGGCAGGCCUAACACAUGCAAGUCGAGCGAGCGGCGGACGGGUGAGUAAUGUCUGGGAAACUGCCUGAUGGAGGGGGCUAACUACUGGCAACGGUAGCUAAUACCGCAUACCAUCAGAUGUGCCCAGAUGGGAUUAGCUAGUAGGUGGGGUAAUGGCUCACCUAGGCGACGAUCCCUAGCUGGUCUGAGAGGAUGACCAGCCACACUGGAACUGAGACACGGUCCAGACUCCUACGGGAGGCAGCAGUGGGGAAUAGUGCAAAAUGGGCGCAAGCCUGAUGCAGCCAUGCCGCGUGUGUGAAGAAGGCCGUCGGGUUGUAAAGCACUUUCAGCGAGGAGGCGUUACUCGCAGAAGAAGCACCGGCUAACUCCGUGCCAGCAGCCGCGGUAAUUC